UGCAGUCGAGCGGUAGAGAGAAGCUUGCUUCUCUUGAGAGCGGCGGACGGGUGAGUAAUGCCUAGGAAUCUGCCUGGUAGUGGGGGAUAACGUCCGGAAACGGACGCUAAUACCGCAUACGUCCUACGGGAGAAAGCAGGGGACCUUCGGGCCUUGCGCUAUCAGAUGAGCCUAGGUCGGAUUAGCUAGUUGGUGGGGUAAUGGCUCACCAAGGCGACGAUCCGUAACUGGUCUGAGAGGAUGAUCAGUCACACUGGAACUGAGACACGGUCCAGACUCCUACGGGAGGCAGCAGUGGGGAAUAUUGGACAAUGGGCGAAAGCCUGAUCCAGCCAUGCCGCGUGUGUGAAGAAGGUCUUCGGAUUGUAAAGCACUUUAAGUUGGGAGGAAGGGCAGUAAAUUAAUACUUUGCUGUUUUGACGUUACCGACAGAAUAAGCACCGGCUAACUCUGUGCCAGCAGCCGCGGUAAUACAGAGGGUGCAAGCGUUAAUCGGAAUUACUGGGCGUAAAGCGCGCGUAGGUGGUUCGUUAAGUUGGAUGUGAAAUCCCCGGGCUCAACCUGGGAACUGCAUUCAAAACUGACGAGCUAGAGUAUGGUAGAGGGUGGUGGAAUUUCCUGUGUAGCGGUGAAAUGCGUAGAUAUAGGAAGGAACACCAGUGGCGAAG
rnacentral:rRNA from 1 species